UUCAAAUUUCUCAAGUUGUCCUCAGAGCCUGUGGCAGCUGCUGUUUUUACAGUCGGGAUCUCAUCGAGGGGCAAGCAUUGCAUUGGAUUACGAUGGUCACAUUGAAUCUAGAACAUCUAGGGGCUAUAAAAGAACGUGGGCAGAAAAAACAGGCCACCCACCAAAGGGUAAAUUACUGCACGAUCAAGUCAAGAAGCGAGGGCAGAGGCCUAUGGGAAAUGUAGUCCAAUCCAGACGGAUCACCGCGCAGCACUCUGGGAACGGGUCUUCUUCUGCGCAAGUGCCGUCCUAGCCUCGCCGCGUUUUUACGCAUCUGCAUCUUCCCGCGGAGCAGGUCCCACAACUUUCUCGGUCAGGCAGGCUGGAAGGAGCACACCUGGGGGUCCAACCGCCCUAUUCCUGGAGGGAGCCUCCUCUCCUUCUGGGAUGCUGAGACUUUGUGGAAGUGAAUUUAGAAGCCGCCGGGCAGGCCAGACCCUUCACGGUCUCCCGAGAGGUGCAGAAAAUGAACACAUCUCAGGGGUGCCACAGCAAUUCAGAGUAACAGGAACUGGAUUUGCUCUCCUGCCCGCGACAAGAAAACAUCACAGACGAAACGAGACAAAAUACGUGACGUGCAGAUUUUUCAAGAGACUGGGCAGCAGGCAGAAGAGGACGGUGAUGCCCCAGAGGACGGGAGACAAACAGGUGAGCCCUGCAGUUGCUUCCAUUUACUGCCGGAGAGAGUUUCCAAGUGAAACACGGGGAGGAGAAACCGAAGAGGAGCCCAGUGGACCUCGAGUUGAGGACACUGAGCCGAGACGCGGUGGCCACGGUGACCAGAGGCCACAGGACAGAGUUCCAGAGAGGAGAGAGCUGCAGAAAGCCAGUCAGGAACGUCUGUCCAGGGGGCCCCUCCAGCGUGCAACACGGUAG
rnacentral:lncRNA from 1 species